CGUGAACAAACCACAAAAAACUGGCGC
rnacentral:sRNA from 1 species